CAAACACCUGCAUUCCUACACAUGUGGCAACAACAACGUGGGGAGUCCGCUUUUUGGUCACCUGUUGAAUCAAACCACUAGCUAGCUGAGAGAUGCCCAGUUCACAGACUUUGAAGCCUCAGCUAACAUCAUGAAUCACUGUUGGAAGUGACGCUGAGCAGCGAGCCAUCUGUCGGCAGAUUAAUCCUGGCUGUGCUUAGAGAUAUUACCGGCUGGCUUAUCACCGUGGCAACAAGCCUUCAAUCCCAGUCCAGCGCUGCC